AGAGCGAACGCUGGCGGCAGGCUUAACACAUGCAAGUCGAGCGGGCGUAGCAAUACGUCAGCGGCAGACGGGUGAGUAACGCGUGGGAACGUACCUUUUGGUUCGGAACAACACAGGGAAACUUGUGCUAAUACCGGAUAAGCCCUUACGGGGAAAGAUUUAUCGCCGAAAGAUCGGCCCGCGUCUGAUUAGCUAGUUGGUGAGGUAACGGCUCACCAAGGCGACGAUCAGUAGCUGGUCUGAGAGGAUGAUCAGCCACAUUGGGACUGAGACACGGCCCAAACUCCUACGGGAGGCAGCAGUGGGGAAUAUUGGACAAUGGGCGCAAGCCUGAUCCAGCCAUGCCGCGUGAGUGAUGAAGGCCCUAGGGUUGUAAAGCUCUUUUGUGCGGGAAGAUAAUGACGGUACCGCAAGAAUAAGCCCCGGCUAACUUCGCGCCAGCAGCCG
rnacentral:rRNA from 1 species